rnacentral:rRNA from 1 species
GAUUGAAACGACUGCUAAGACUGGAUAGGAAACAAAAAGGCAUCUUUUUGUUUUUAAAAGACCUUCUUACGAAGGUAUGCUUAAAGAGGGGCUUGCGCCACAUUAGUUAGUUGGUAGGGUAAAAGCCUACCAAGACGAUGAUGUGUAGCUGGACUGAGAGGUUGAACAGCCACAUUGGGACUGAGACACGGCCCAAACUCCUACGGGAGGCAGCAGUAGGGAAUUUUCGGCAAUGGAGGAAACUCUGACCGAGCAACGCCGCGUGAACGAUGAAGUAUUUCGGUAUGUAAAGUUCUUUUAUUGAAGAAGAAAAAGUAGUGGAAAAACUAUAUUGACGUUAUUCAAUGAAUAAGCCCCGGCUAACUAUGUGCCAGCAGCCGCGGUAAGACAUAGGGGGCGAGCGUUAUCCGGAAUUAUUGGGCGUAAAGGGUGCGUAGGCUGUUAGAUAAGUCUAUAAUUUAAUUUCAGUGCUUGACGCUGUCUUGUUAUAGAAACUGUCUUGACUAGAGUGAGAUAGAGGCAAGCGGAAUUCCAUGUGUAGCGGUAAAAUGUGUAAAUAUAUGGAGGAACACCAGAAGCGUAGGCGGCUUGCUGGGUCUUUACUGACGCUGAGGCACGAAAGCGUGGGUAGCAAACAGGAUUAGAUACCCUGGUAGUCCACGCCGUAAACGAUGAGUACUAAGUGUCGGGGUAAAACUCGGUACUGAAGUUAACACAUUAAGUACUCCGCCUGAGUAGUACGUACGCAAGUAUGAAACUUAAAGGAAUUGACGGGACUCCGCACAAGCGGUGGAUCAUGUUGUUUAAUUCGAAGAUACACGAAAAAUCUUACCAGGUCUUGACAUACUCUGCAAAGCUAUAGAAAUAUAGUGGAGGUUAUCAGGGAUACAGGUGGUGCAUGGUUGUCGUCAGUUCGUGUCGUGAGAUGUUAGGUUAAGUCCUAAAACGAGCGCAACCCUUGUCGUUAAUUGCCAGCACGUAAUGGUGGGGACUUUAGCGAGACUGCCAAUUAAACAUUGGAGGAAGGUGAGGAUUACGUCAAAUCAUCAUGCCCCUUAUGAUCUGGGCUACAAACGUGAUACAAUGGCUGUGACAAAGAGUAGCUGAAACGCGAGUUUUUAGCCAAUCUCAAAAAAGCAGUCUCAGUUCGGAUUGAAGUCUGUAACUCGACUUCAUGAAGUUGGAAUCGCUAGUAAUCGCGAAUCAGCAUGUCGCGGUGAAUACGUUCUCGGGGUUUGUACACACCGCCCGUCAAAUC